rnacentral:tRNA from 1 species
GUCGCGUUCGUCUAGCCGGUCAGGAUCCCGGGCCUUCAACCCGGGGACGCGGGUUCAAGUCCCGCACGCGAUGCCA